CUGGAAAAAAAAAAUUUAAAAAGAACAAAAGGAGAAUAGAAUUAAAUACCCAUGAGAAGUUCCUUCAACUUCCGAGGAAGCUUUGCAGUGAGUUUGUUGAGCCCCAAAUGUUUCGUUUGUCAUCUUAUAACAAGAAGAAGGCUGGAAUUUGUAGCCUUGAUUGAAUGCGUUUCUUUUGUGUGGAUUGAUGAAAGAAAAUAACGUUGAAGCAGAAGAGAUUCUACUACAGUAGAUUUCUUGUGGGCUCGGAGUGAAACUCAGCCCCUGCAUUCUCUCCGACGAGACACAACCGCGGCUAUUUCGCCCAAGCAAUCUACCUGCAAAGUGCGAACUACGGCACCGCGCGAUUUUUCUUCAUGGGAAUUUGCAGCUUAGUCUCCAUCUUUUCACAAAUAUAAUAUUUGGGUUCUGUUAAAUUUAGGGGGCUCUUGAUUUUUAUAAACUUUCUU
rnacentral:lncRNA from 1 species